UGGUCGGGAGACUGAUCCAGCCAUGCCGCGUGCAGGAUGACUGCCCUAUGGGUUGUAAACUGCUUUUAUACGGGAAGAAACGCACCUACGUGUAGGUGUCUGACGGUACCGUAAGAAUAAGGACCGGCUAACUCCGUGCCAGCAGCCGCGGUAAUACGGAGGGUCCGAGCGUUAUCCGGAAUCAUUGGGUUUAAAGGGUCCGUAGGCGGGCCAUUAAGUCAGGGGUGAAAGUCUGCAGCUCAACUGUAGAAUUGCCUUUGAUACUGGUGGUCUUGAGUCGUUGUGAAGUGGCCGGAACAUGUGGUGUAGCGGUGAAAUGCAUAGAUAUCACAUAGAACACCGAUUGCGAAGGCAGGUCACUAACAACGUACUGACGCUGAUGGACGAAAGCGUGGGUAGCGAACGGGAUUAGAUACCCCGGUAGUCCACGCCGUAAACGAUGGAUACUAGCUGUCGGGACUUCGGUCUCGGCGGCCAAGCGAAAGUGAUAAGUAUCCCACCUGGGGAGUACGUUCGCAAGAAUGAAACUCAAAGGAAUUGACGGGGGCCCGCACAAGCGGUGGAGCAUGUGGUUUAAUUCGAUGAUACGCGAGGAACCUUACCAGGGCUUAAAUGUAGUAUGACAGGACUAGAGAUAGUUUUUUCUUCGGACAUAUUACAAGGUGCUGCAUGGUUGUCGUCAGCUCGUGCCGUGAGGUGUCAGGUUAAGUCCUAUAACGAGCGCAACCCCUACCGUUAGUUGCCAGCAUGUAAAGAUGGGGACUCUAACGGGACUGCCGGUGCAAACCGUGAGGAAGGUGGGGACGACGUCAAAUCAUCACGGCCCUUACGUCCUGGGCCACACACGUGCUACAAUGGCCGGUACAGAGGGAAGCCACCCCGUAAGGGGGCGCGGAUCUAUAAAACCGGUCACAGUUCGGAUCG
rnacentral:rRNA from 1 species